AGUGUGAAGCUAGAUAGAGACGAACAUACAGUGACUACCAUGGCUUUAGACAAGGUUUUUCUCCUGRUUCUAGUUUCUAGUCUUGUUGCUCAUGUUCAUCUUCAAAAGGUUGUUGUGGAAAAGGACGGUGUUUGCGCUGAUAGGCCGAGUCAUUUUGCUAACUGUCCAAGCUGGGCGAGAAGAGGAUGGUGCCAACCAGGAUACAGAUACAGCUUCUUCGCACGAUUGAGUUGCAGGAAAACAUGCCAGCUUUGUCACGGCGAAAGCGGUUGCUUUGAUAAGUUUAUUGAGUGCAGGAGCAGAAGAAGCUAUUGUAAACAUGGCAGCCCUUACAGGAGAUUCAUGGUAAACAAUUGUAAGGAGACAUGUCAACUGUGUCACUGAGACAAAUCCUCCAGUCGGAACAUGGAAAUGUGAUUACCCUGUCGACCAAAACACACAUGUCUAGUUGUAUCUUUGCUAAUUCAGCAGUGAUUGAAUGCUUUAGAUUAAUUGUACGUAGAGAGUUUAUUGGCUAUUUUAAGUGAUUGUGGUGUUAAGUCAAAAGUUGCAUAUUAAAUAAAAAACACUUAUCACAA